GGAGACGUGCCAGAGCGGCCGAAUGGGCUUCACUGCUAAUGAAGUGUGGGCCAAAAGUCCACCGGGAGUUCAAAUCUCCCCGUCUCCG
rnacentral:tRNA from 2 species